rnacentral:tRNA from 1 species
UCCCUGGUGGCUCAGCGGUUAAAGCAUCUGCCUCCAAUGCGGGAGACCCAGGUUUGAUCCCUGUGUCAGGAA